CAAAUGACCCCUCAUACGUUUUCUUACUCCCCUCCAACGCCAUAAAACAAACAAAAGCGCAUCCAACUCUAGACGCGAACAAGAGCGUGAGUCUAGCAGCCUAGCGUGUCAUCCUGUCCCCUCUUCUUAUCCUUUUGCGCGGAAUCCAGGUGUCGAGAUCUCCCAUAUUCUUCGUCCUCUCUUAAGAAAUCAAAUGGCUACGAUUAUAAGUACGUUGGAGAGGUGAACAAUUUUUUGAGCUGACAACCUUAUCCCUUGAAGAGAUCGAAUUUGAAAUUCAAAUUCUAUCGGUUUCCCCCUCUUUCUGCCAUAAAUAUCCCCUUAUAAAUAUCCACUCAUUCUUCAUUAUUUAGGGGUUAGAGAAAAAACAGAGAAAAAAUUGGAAAAAUUGAUUUUAGAAAUCAUGGAAAAGAACAAAAUAAAUAACUACUAUUAAUUUCUAAGAGUUUCAUUCAGUUUUUUCAAGUCUUUAGUCGGAGCUUUCAAUGUUUGUGGGUGUCGGAAGAAGUUUUUUGUCUCCUCUGGUCGUCGCUGUCUGGUUUGCUGCCCGAAAAAGGUUCCGACCGUUGAGAUUUUAGAAGGCCAUUGAAGAAGCCUUUGAAUCCUAUUCUCCAAGUUCGGCAGGUCCUCACUUUCUGAGGAUGAUGCCAUUAUCUUGCUAUUUGAUAUGGUUUAGUCUUAAAUACAAUUUAGUUCAUUCUCUUUAUUUGAUGACUUUGUGUAUGCCUAUAUGAGGUCUUUAUUGUAAUGAAGUAUGGGUUGAGCCCCAAUGUUGUUCGACUUAGAUGGUUUAAUAUGAGAUGUAUUCUAGACUUCCUAUGAGAUUAUAUUGCUUUAUUAAAUAUGUGAAAUAAAGGUAAAAUCCUAUGUAUUGCUUCCUA